UACGGGGGGGGCAAGCGUUGUUCGGAAUUACUGGGCGUAAAGGGCUCGUAGGUGGCCAACUAAGUCGGACGUGAAAUCCCUCAGCUUAACUGGGGAACUGCGUCCGAUACUGGAUGGCUUGAGUUUGGGAGAGGGAUGCGGAAUUCCAGGUGUAGCGGUGAAAUGCGUAGAUAUCUGGAGGAACACCGGUGGCGAAGGCGGCAUCCUGGACCGACAUUGACGCUGAACGGCGAAAGCUAGGGGAGCAAACGGG
rnacentral:rRNA from 1 species